rnacentral:misc_RNA from 1 species
UCUCCGUAGGUGAACCUGCGGAGGGAUCAUUACAGAGUUCUCGCCCUCGCGGGUAGGUCUCCCACCCACUGUUAUCGUUACUGUGUUGCUUUGGCGGGCCGCCGGGCCCCGCUCGGCCGCCGGCUCCGGCUGGCGCGCGCCCGCCAGAGGCCCAGCAAACUCUGAAUGUUAGUGUCGUCUGAGUACUAUAUAAUAGUUAAAACUUUCAACAACGGAUCUCUUGGUUCCG